rnacentral:lncRNA from 1 species
AGAUGGGGUCUCCCUAUGUUGUCCAGGCUGGUCACGAACUCCUGGGCUCAAGUGAUCCUCCUUCCUUGGCCUCCCAAAACGCUGGGAUUACAGGUGUGAGCUACUGCCCCGGCCUGAAAAUGUCCUUACCGAAGACAUUAUCCUUAUUUUUGAAGUGUAUUUUCUCUUUCUACAGAAAUUUGAGUAGACAGUUUUUUCUUCUCUUGGCACUUUAACGAUGUUAUUUUGUUGGUUCUUAUAUACAGCAGUCUUAUUGUUUCCCUUUAUGUAAUGCAUCUUUUUUCCUUUAGCUUUUUUGAAGAUUUUCUCUUACCUUUGGAUUUUAGUAGCUGGACUAUGAAGUACCCAGAUGUGGUUCUCUUUGUCUUUUUAUCCUGCUUGGGGUUUGCUGAGAUUCUUGGAUCUGUAGAUUGCUGUUUUAUGUCAAAUUCAGGACAUUUUUGACAAUUAGUUUUUCAAAUAUGCUUUUUUUCUGCUUGAGUUUUUCUCCUUACCUUCUAGGGCUCCAAGAACAUGUAAUUAGACCACUUGAUACCAUCUCACAGGUUGCUGAAGUUCUGUUUCUUUCUCUGUCUUUUUCCCCAUUUUCCCCCUGGUUUUUAAAUUGGAUAAUUUCUACUGAUCCAUCUUUAAGUUCACUGUCCCUUUAUUCUACAACCUGCUGGGAAGCCUAUCCAGUAAAGCUUUCGUUUCAGAUACGGUACUUUUUGGUUUUAAAAUUUUCAUUUGGAAGCAUAAGAAACAACAGCUAAAAUAAAAAGUGACUAAUACCUUCUGCAUAGCAAACAAUCAAUAAAAUGAAAUGGCAACCUAUGGAUUGGGAGAAAAUAUUUGCACAUUUUAUAAGGGACAUAAAAAUCUUAUAAAAUAUAUGGUUUGCAAAUAUUUUAUAAUAUCCGAAAUAUAUAAGGAACCCACACAACUCAACAGCAAAAAAACCAAAAAACAACACCACCACCCCACACAUCCAAAUAAUCUGAUUUAAAUAUGGACCUGAAUAGACCUUUCUCAAAAGAAGACAUAAAAUGGCCAACAGAUAUUUGAAAAGCUGCUCAACAUCAUUGAUCAUCAGAGAAAUGCAAACCCAAACCACAAUGAGAUGCCACCUCAUACCUCUUAGGAUAGCUUCUACCAAAAAGACAAGAAAUAAGUGUAGACAAGGGUGUGAAGAAAGGGGAACCUUUGUACACUGUUGGUGGGAAUGUAGGUUGGUGCAACCACUGUGGAAAACAAUAUGGAGGAGCCUAAAGAAAUGAAAAGUAGAACUGCCAUGUGACCCAGGAGUCCCACUUCCAUGUAUAUACCCAAGGGAAAGGACAUCACCACCUCAUAAAGAUACCUGCACUUCCAUGUUCAUUGCACCAUUGAUAGCCAAGAUAUUGAAACAACUGAAGUAUCUGUUGAUGGAUGCAUAAAGAAAUUGUAGUGCUUAUAAAUACAGAGGAAUAUUAUUCAGCCUUAACAAAGAAGGAGAUUCUGCCAUUUGCUACAACAUGGAUGAACCUAGAGGACAUUAUGCUACGUGAAAUUAGCCAGACACAGAAAAAAAUGCUG